rnacentral:rRNA from 1 species
UGGGGAAUAUUGCACAAUGGGCGCAAGCCUGAUGCAGCAACGCCGCGUGAGGGACGACGGCCUUCGGGUUGUAAACCUCUUUUAGUAGGGAAGAAGCGAAAGUGACGGUACCUGCAGAAAAAGCACCGGCUAACUACGUGCCAGCAGCCGCGGUAAUACGUAGGGUGCGAGCGUUGUCCGGAAUUAUUGGGCGUAAAGAGCUCGUAGGCGGUCUGUCGCGUCUGCUGUGAAAACCCGAGGCUCAACCUCGGGCCUGCAGUGGGUACGGGCAGACUAGAGUGCGGUAGGGGAGAAUGGAAUUCCUGGUGUAGCGGUGGAAUGCGCAGAUAUCAGGAGGAACACCGAUGGCGAAGGCAGUUCUCUGGGCCGUAACUGACGCUGAGGAGCGAAAGCGUGGGGAGCGAACAGGAUUAGAUACCCUGGUAGUCCACGCCGUAAACGUU